CGAGCUAGGGUUUACGAUUCCUGCGCCCACAACCCCGAUAUAUAGUGCAGUCCUCCAGCCACCCAUGGUCCUCCGUCGUCUUCCGCGGCCGCCCGGUUCUCGCCCUCCGUUCCUGCUCUGCGUAGAUCUUUUAGCUUUUUUUUUCUAUCUCUAUGCUGGUGUCAUCUUCUUGGCAAUUCGAUUCGUUUCGUUUGUCUGAUGUAUCCCUCGUCAGAUUUGAUCUUGCUGCUGUGUUGAGUUUCGUUUCCUCGUUCUGGAUGUAGAUGGAAGUGAGGAUCCUUUCCCCAGCUGAUCGACAAUGAUUAUACUGUGCGCAAAUGUAAUCCUUUAUCAGAGGAUUCCAAGCCAGAAAUCUGAUCCAUCUCGUCGUACCAUCUCAGCGCUUCUUUUGUUUUUUCUUGUAUUUUUUCUGUUGUGUUUAGUCGUGAAAAUAAAUUGAAUGGAAGUGAGGAUCCUUUCCCCAAAUGAUCGACUAUGAUUAUACUGUGCGCAACUGUAAUCCCAUCGGGAUUCCAAGCCAGAAAUCUGAUCCAUGGUUUUUAUAUUGUAUUCUUGUUUUUUGGUUUUGUUUAUUGUUAUUAUUGUUCGAAAUUUGGAUGGGUAUGAGGAUCCUUUCCCCAAAUGAUCGACUUUGAUUAUACUAUGCGCAAAUGUAAUCCCAUCAGGAUUCCAAGCCAGAAAUCUGAUCCAUCCACUUUCUUAUAAUUAUUUUCUGCAAACUAAAAUUUUCUCUUAGUGGAAUUGAGGUUCCUUUCCCCAAAUGAUCGAGUAUGAUUAUACUAUAUGUCCUCAUGUGUUUCUUCGGUACAGUAGAUUUCUCGAUCUCAUGCUUUGAUCUACAGAAUGAUUCAUCGACAAUAAAAAUUACUUAAAAUUGACUAAAUACAAAAACUGCAACGUGUUUUGGAGGCUCUUUUGUUUUCCGUACUUGGUAUGGGUUGCUUUCUUCUGGAUCGAAAAUCUCAGGGGUGCACCUCAAAUCUGUAUGAAAUGAUGGAUUGAUGGAAUCUAUUUUACUUCAAGUGGGUGUGCUAAAUUAAUUUAUUUGGGUUUGCAUCCAUUCAGGUCUAUUUUACUUAAAGUCGGUUUGCUAAAUCCAUUCAGGUUUAGAUACAGGAAUUGUACGCACAAUGAUUCUGCACUCAAAUUUUAUGCGCAGUAGUUGUUUUAAGUUUGACCAUGUACACUAUUUUAACUCUACAAUAUCAAAUACAUGUACAUGUAAUUAUAUUUCCAUGAAUAAAUUUUGCAACAGACGGAUUAUCUUAGUGUAUUCUGGUGAUAUCAAUUCGGACGCUAGAUAUUGGUUCAUGUCGUUACAUGCACUGAAGCAUUUUCUUUCAUUCUUUUCAUUUGUGAUGUGAUGAUAAUUCACAUAGGUUUUUGGUAGUGGUUGCAUAUGUCAUUGUGAGCUUUCAAACCAAAAACUCUUUCCACCGAGCAGUGCUUCCAAAUUUCAUAUUUUUUGUUGUUGAUUUUGCCUCUGUUUUUCUCUAAUGCUUUGGACUAGGAUGUACCGUAUAACACUGUAAACAGCAGCUGCUACUAUGUCGCUGUGCUGCGAUUCAGUCAAUAGACAGAGCUUACUUAACUGUGAUGAUGAUAGAACUAAGGCUUGUUUCUCAAAACAUUCCCUGAUGCUGCCUUAAGAGCUUUCACCCUGCCAGGCUGAGAUAAUGCUCCUUCCUUGAUGUCUGACCCAUGCUUAUCUUCCUAGUUUUUAUCCUUUUUGGUGCCUUCUUUCUGCACACAAGAUGACAUUUUGACCAACUUCUUGAGUACAAUGUCUAAGCCGUGUUUAGCACAAUGAUAGUUUCCCUAUCCAAAUUGAUCUGUUUUUUUGUUGAUUAUUUUUUCCUUUCUUUCGUUUGUGUGAAUAGAAUUCGACAUUGUUGGCUGGUGAUGAUUCAGGUCUGGAAGGAUCUUAGCAGAUUUCAGUGAGGCGGAUUUGUCCGCCAUUGAUUGAUUCUCACAGACUGAAUUCCUAAAGGUUUCCUCUGUUUUUGUGAUGCGAUGAUGAUUCAUAUAGAUUUUUGGCAGUGGUGGCAUCUGUCACCGUGAGCCUCCAAACCAAAAAACGACUUCUCUUUCCACUGAGCAUUGCUUGAAGUUGUCAAUUCUUUCCUUUUUGUACUACAUCUUGUCCCUGCGAAGAGCACUAGACCAGGAAGUGCCGUAUGACACUGUAAACAGCAGCUGCUUCUAUGCUUCUGCAAGUGUCCAUCUCUGUAUCAUAACCUUUGUGGUUUGUUCUGGGAUGUAAUUCCAUUUGCACCGGCUUGAUUCAGCUGUGUGUGUGAUUUGAAACGGGUCUCUGAGGGACUAAGCAAUGAUGCGUGUUCUCUUGCAACCUUUCUUUUUUCCUGUUUUCUUUGGCCCGAUGCCACGUCUCAGGUAGCCACAAGCCUUGACUGGAGAUCCUACAUUGUGCCAACAAAGAUUUUCACAUUUGAUAGGAACCUGUGGCUGUGAUUCAGUCGGUACACAGAGCCGAUUUUUGUGAUUACACCAUUGCCUCACUGUAAUAUUUGUUGUAGUUACUGGGAAAUCAAUGGUGAUGAUGAUAUAACUAAGGCAUGUUUCUCAAAACAUUCGCAGAUGCCGCCUAAGAGCUUUCGCCCUGCCAGGGUGCACAAACUGGUUGACAAAUGUUUGGCCUUACCUUUGGAAUGUUAAUUCGGUAUAAUAGUUAUGUUAUGAUGGUCUAUCAUUUACUGUGGUAUACUACCUUAAAAUUUGUCAAUUCGGAUCUUGGAUGGAAAUCCAUGGAAGCAGGUGAUGACACCAAGACAGGGACAUCAGAACCAUGUAAUGGUUAUGAUAGACCAAGUCUAUAAUGGGAAUCUCUCUGAUGUUUUCUGUUUUCCAACCAUUUCGAAUUUUAGGUAUUUUCUUCUGUCUGCUUUGAUUGUCACUACCACUGAGGCAGCUUUUCUUAGUUGAUCAUUUUGUUUGGGAUUUUGUUGGUGCUAUCGGUUUGGUUUAGUAAGUUGGUUGGAGCAAACUGCCGGUGAUGGUGUUAAAUAUACUUUGCAGCUUUUUGCUUUGAAAUAAACCUACAAUCUGAGGCAUUUGCAUUCAAUCCACUGUUGCCAUUGUAUGAAGUUAGCAUAGAUAGAUCCACAUUUCUUUAUUUUUGUUUUUAUCUAUAUGAAUUCAGAAAUCCACUGUUUUGAUUUGUUUGCACAGGACCUGAAUCGAUUGUAGCGCCAAAAACUGACCAAGCAGCCCACGGAUUUGAGGAUACAGGGUGAAUCCAUUCAUUAUGAGAUGAGACCUUCGAUGGCCCCAUGUCAGUCUUCAGGCAAAAUUACCCCCUAAUUAGCACAAUCUUCUUAGCUUUACGGACCUACAUGUAAUGUUGAACUAUGUCAACUGUACCUGCAUUGGAUUUGUGCCUCUGGGAUUUUUUCAAUAGUCAGCGGAGCUGUAGAAGAUGCUAGUUAACUGAACUGGUCUGGCUUGGAAUUGUAGAAAUCCAGAUUGUGUUAUGAAAUUCAUGGCCCACAAAGGCAGUUCAAAACAAAAAAUGAA